AUUGAACGCUGGCGGCAGGCCUAACACAUGCAAGUCGAGCGGAUGAAGGGAGCUUGCUCCUGGAUUCAGCGGCGGACGGGUGAGGAAUGCCUAGGAAUCUGCCUGGUAGUGGGGGAUAACGUCCGGAAACGGGCGCUAAUACCGCAUACGUCCUGAGGGAGAAAGUGGGGGAUCUUCGGACCCCACGCUAUCAGAUGAGCCUAGGUCGGAUUAGCUAGUUGGUGGGGUAAAGGCCUACCAAGGCGACGAUCCGUCACUGGUCUGAGAGGAUGAUCAGUCACACUGGAACUGAGACACGGUCCAGACUCCUACGGGAGGCAGCAGUGGGGAAUAUUGGACAAUGGGCGAAAGCCUGAUCCAGCCAUGCCGCGUGUGUGAAGAAGGUCUUCGGAUUGUAAAGCACUUUAAGUUGGGAGGAAGGGCAGUAAGUUAAUACCUUGCUGUUUUGACGUUACCAACAGAAUAAGCACCGGCUAACUUCGUG
rnacentral:rRNA from 1 species